GACAGAGGUGCCGAGCGUUAGGCGGAAUCACUGGGCUUAAAGCGUGUGUAGGCGGAUGUCUAAGUACCUUGUGAAAUCCCACGGCUCAACCGUGGAACUGCUUGGUAUACUGGAUGUCUUGAGCCAUCUAGGGGCUACCGGAACAAAUGGUGGAGCGGUGAAAUGCGUAGAUAUCAUUUGGAACGCCAAUGGUGAAAACAGGUAGCUGGGGAUGUGCUGACGCUGAGACACGAAAGCCAGGGGAGCAAACGGG
rnacentral:rRNA from 1 species